CUAGUUUGGUCACAGUAAAAACUGAUUUAGAUUCAAUAGAAAUGAACAGAAUCAUUAUAGUUUCAGUCGAGUAUUAACUGAUUCAGGAUCAAUAUAAACAAACAGGACCUAUUAAAACUGGUUUAAGACCAGUGUAAACUAGAUUAGUGUCAGUGUAAGCUGAUUCAGGAUCAAUAUAAAUAGACAGAACCUUUAUAAAAUGCUUUAAGAUCAAUGUAAACUAGUUUAGUCUCUGUAUAAACUGGUUCUGCUCAGUUUGAAGUGGAUCAGCACAAACUGGAGCCUUACUGGGUCCCCACAGCAUCUGGCACUGGGUGUUCAUGCUGGCGCAGACUCCUCCAUAGCAGUAGGAGGCGCCGUCCUCGCAGGGCUCUCCGUUCUGCAGGAAGACGUUGGGUGGGCAGUAGGGGGAGGAACCUGUGCAGAACUCGGGAAGGUCGCACUCUCCGAGCGGAUCACGGCACACCGAGCCUGCCGCUCGCAGCUGAGGAUGGAGGUAAGGUUUAGUUCAAAUACUGGCUGAGAUUAGUAUUAUGUCUGUGGUAUCGUGUCAGUCUGACCUUGCAGUCCUGGCAGCAGAUACCAUCAGAGGAGCACUGAGCGCCAGGAACCAGCUGACAGGUGGAGGCGUUACAACAGGGGUCCUCACAUUCCUGACCAAUCAGAGCACAGCAGCACAUCAACAGGAUGGACGACACAGAAAGGUUUCCACAGCGAGGUCCUCCCAGCAGGCGUUCUGGCUGCGGUACGUUGAACAGACACAUACCACCGCCGUGCAGCAGGCUGAUGGACAGAUCUGAAGCGCUGCAGCUGCUGAACUGUUGACCCGGCAUGAACCUGAGAUUAUAUUUUGUUGAUGUCUGAAGAAAUGAAGUGCUGCCAUCUUAAGCCAAAUACACGUCACUGCAGCAAUAAAAAGUCCUGCACCUUUAUGGAAACAGCACAAUAAUGGCUAGGAGGAGAGAAGCCUGGAAUCAACACCAACAUUAUUGCAAGUGUCCACAAGUUCUACCAACACUAGAAAAAUUGGGGAAACUAUUUAUAUUUUUACUGUCUCAACAAAAACAGCCCUGGAGAGACAUUUGAGUACCAAAGAAGGUCGAUUUUUUGUGUUUCACGGGACAUGGUGCAAACGCUUUAUUUUUUAGAGACAUGUAGAAUAAAGUAGUUUGGAGAAAAAACUUUAUCUUAGUAGAAAUUUCAAUCAAUUACCCAAGAAAAUAAUCAGCAGAUUGAUCAAUAAGACACAAACACACUGACCUCCUGGUGAUCGGCCACCAGCACCAGUUCGAUGUAUUUGGUCUCAGACAGGAUGUCUCUCUUGGUCUGCAGACAAAACACACACAAGUCAGAGUUACAGGACAAUAAGUAGAAUCUGAAGAACUUUACUAUUUCCAGCCUAUACAACUCUGUACAUUAACUCCACUAAGGUUUGGAUAGAAAUAUUGUGUUUAUCCUCCAGUAAGUUAAAGUUUUUCAGCAGCAAUAAUACUCUGAUAUGAUAUAAUGAUCAGCCACAACACUAAAACCAUCUGUCUAAAAUUGUGCAUUCCCUCCUCUCUGAUUGGUCGAGGACUCCACAGACCUCUGAAGGGGUUCUGUGGUUUAAGGCACCAAGGUGUCAGCAGCAGGUCCUUUAAUACCUGGAAAUUGUGAGGUGAAACCUCCAUGGAUCAGAUUGGGUGUCUGCUCGAUCAGACUGAGAUCUGGGAAAUUCAGCACCUUGAACUCUUUGUCACAUUCCUCAAACAAUUCCUGAACAGUGUUUGCAGUGUGGCAUGGAGCAUUAUUCUGCUGAAAGAGGUCAUUGGUAAAUUAAUGAAGCUAUGAAGGGCUGUAUGUGGUCUGCAGCAAUGUUUAGGAGUCACAGUAUCAUCCACAUGAAUGCUGGAACCAACAUUUCCCAGUGGUAAACACUGACCUUUCAUGGGAGACUGACUGGUCUGUAAUUAUGUAGAAUCAUGCACGACAAGCUGUGAUGCACUUUUUGCUCUCUUUGUGAUCAUUUUGUCUCAGUAUGGUUGUUUUGAGUAUGUUUGUGGUUGUUCUGCAUGUAUUUGUGGUCAUUUUGCAUCAAUCUGUCAUAAUUUUUUGUUCCUUUGUGAUUGUUUUGCUGCUCUUUGCAAUAGUUUGGUGUGUAUUUGUGAUUUAGUUGUGUAGCAUCAGUUACCACAGCGAUCUACCAGGUUAAAGAGGCUCAACAUCGAUAACUAACCCUCGAAACUCACUUCACAGUACAUCCUUCUGCUCUCUCCAUGUUACUGAAGAAGUUCGUCUCACCCUGUGUGUGUGCGUUGGGCUGUGGAUGGGUGGGAUGGCAGUGUGCGACACCCCGCAGCCUCCGGUGCCGUCGCCUUCCAGUGAACUGGUGGAAAACAGCAGGUGGACUCCUUCAUCUCCUUCUCCACUUCCUCCACUCUCCCCGUCCUCCUCGUGGUGGUGGUCCUCCUGCGGCUGCAGCUCGAAGCUCAGCGUGGAGUUCAGGGCGAUGACGCCGCUGCACGAGGAGACACAGUUAGCUUCUCUACUCAUAAUUUUUAUCUGAUUUCUAAGCAUAUUUAUAGAUGUUUGUUUGCUUUCUCUUCUGGUUUGUCCUGCUCAUUGUUCGUGGAAGUUACACAAUCGAUAAAUUCAUUAAGUUUUAAAUCCCGUCUGGAACAAUGAAUGAAAUUAGGAGGGAAGAGGACCAGGCCCUUCGCAGUGGGGCUGCAACUUAUGAUUAUUUCCCAUUGUUCAGCAUUUACUGGAAUAAUUGAUCAGUUGUUUGGUCUUUAAAAUGUCAGAAAAUGGCGAAAAAUGGCUAUCAGUGUUUCCCAAAGCCCAAGAUGAUGGCAGUCUGAUGUACUUAUGUGAGCAUAUCGUUUCUAUAGGAUCUGGAGCAGGCGGUUUAUAUUUGACAAAUGUAUGAAUGUGGAAUAGAGUGAUUUUGAUGAAAUAACAUAAUUUUACCGAUAAAAACAAACACAUCCCACAUGAUAAGUUCAAGGACCACCGAAAAAUUACAAUUACUUCUGCUUCUACAGUUUCAGAUUCUGAUUAAUAGUGUAAUUUUGGCUAUUUUUUUAAGAAAAUUUGCAUUUUAAACUUGCUGUUGGAUUCAGAGGGUUAACGUCUGGUGAGAAACUACAGGUUUCCGGCACAUUCCAGCAGAAGUUCACGCUUAGCUGCAAAGUUACCUUACGAUUUAUCUUGAUACACAUUAGAAUAUCAAAGGAAAGUUUUUAUCAAGGAGGCCUGAAAAUGUACUAAGAUUUAAAGUGUGAGGUAAAAUAGGUUUUCAUGUGUUCAAACUAUUUGCUUUUGGAUUUGACAGUGCAUUUGUAAGAACAAUAAUUGACCCACCUAUCGUCUCACACAUUUGUGUUGUUUGUAGCUCAUGUCUUCGUUAAAGUUACUAUAUUUUUUGUUUGUUGUCAGAGGUUUUAAUGUUUUCCUGGGUAAUCUAAAGUGCUUAAUCAAAGGUCUAAACCUGUCCUGCACAGUGAGCUCGAUCCUCUGAUCCUGAAACCACCAGCUGGAGCUGCUCUCUUCACGUGAGCUGCCAAAUAAACCCACUAAUCCUCCCUCAGCCUGCACACUCUCUGCCACACAGGUCAGAGGUCACGCCCAUUGAUCCGGAUCAGUUCCACCUGUAGAGGAACGCUGAUGCCGUCACUCGCUUUUUCUGCCGAGAACAGCCAAGAAACACAAAGAACUGAAACACAAUAAAUCCUGAACUCUGGAAUGAA